AGGUCCUAGUGCUGCUGGCUCCGCCUGGUCCCCACAACCCAGGUUGCGUGUAGUCUGCCAUGCCUGGGCAGCUGGGCCAAGGAAUGGAGGUCAGUGGAUGAACAGCGUCAGGGAGCAGUGCUGACACACAGCAGGGUGGCAACUGCAGGCCCCCACAACACCAGCUUCCAGGGAAGCCCAGAGCAUGAGGCUGCAGGCCUGAGAGGGAAGAAGCCAGACUGCCAUGGUGUGAAGGUGCCUUUUUCCAUAAUUUUUUCUUAUAACCAGCCCUUCUCAUCCAAAGGCCACAAUGAAGUCGAAGAAACCUAUAGAUGACAGCUUUCACAAUCCUUCUCUUGCCUUUUCCUGUACUGACGUAUGUUAGAGAUCUGGCUGGCAGCUUCAAGACACUUGGAAGCAAGAGGGCCACUCUAUUAAGGAUCGCUGAAGUAUGCCCACAUGUCAGGUUUCUCUCAGAUGUGGUAUCAAAACAUCAUUAUGGGCCGGGCACGGUGGCUUACGCCUGUAAUCCCAGCACUUUGGGAGGCUGAGGCAGGCAUAUGAAGAGGUCAAGAGAUCGAGAUCAUCCCGGCCAACAUGGUGAAACCCCAUCUCUACUAAAAAUACAAACAUUAGCUAGAAAUAACAAGAAAGUUAGAAAGUCUUCUGCCUCCCAUCAGAAAAUGAGCUCAAGUGUUGUAUCCAUUGAAAAUGACAUCUGAUGCUAAUCAUCUCUGAGUGAACCCUACAUCUUACAGUAAAUUGCAUAUUGCAAUAAAAAGUGAUCUCUCAUGGUU
rnacentral:lncRNA from 1 species